AGCGAACGCUGGCGGCAGGCUUAACACAUGCAAGUCGAACGGGCUUCUUCGGACGUCAGUGGCAGACGGGUGAGUAACACGUGGGAACGUGCCCUUCGGUUCGGAAUAUCUCAGGGAAACUUGAGCUAAUACCGGAUACGCCCUUAUGGGGAAAGGUUUACUGCCGAAGGAUCGGCCCGCGUCUGAUUAGCUUGUUGGUGGGGUAACGGCCUACCAAGGCGACGAUCAGUAGCUGGUCUGAGAGGAUGAUCAGCCACACUGGGACUGAGACACGGCCCAGACUCCUACGGGAGGCAGCAGUGGGGAAUAUUGGACAAUGGGCGCAAGCCUGAUCCAGCCAUGCCGCGUGAGUGAUGAAGGCCUUAGGGUUGUAAAGCUCUUUUGUCCGGGACGAUAAUGACGGUACCGGAAGAAUAAGCCCCGGCUAACUUCGUG
rnacentral:rRNA from 1 species